AUCCGGUUGGCGAGUCCUAAACAGGGCGAAAUGCGUAUCCUGGAU
rnacentral:hammerhead_ribozyme from 1 species